GACAGAGGAUGCAAGCGUUAUCCGGAAUGAUUGGGCGUAAAGCGUCUGUAGGUGGCUUUUAAGUCCGCCGUCAAAUCCCAGGGCUCAACCCUGGACAGGCGGUGGAAACUACCAAGCUGGAGUACGGUAGGGGCAGAGGGAAUUUCCGGUGGAGCGGUGAAAUGCGUAGAUAUCGGAAGGAACACCGGUGGCGAAAGCGGCGCGCUGGAUCUCUUCUGACGCUGAGGCGCGAAAGCUAGGGGAGCAAACGGG
rnacentral:rRNA from 1 species